AUAGACCCUCACGAGCCUUCAUCCUGACCAACAAUAUUCAAAGUUCAAAUUUGUUUGACAACAUAAAUUAAGGUUCACUAUUAUUCCAAAAUUUGCAAUAGAUUAAAGUGGGUAAGGUAUAAUUAUGCAAACAUUGACUAAUAAAAACCAAUGGAACAUUACCAUCUCUCAAUUGCUUAGCUACAUACCAGUUCACAUUGCCUCUAAGAGUAUUAAUUUCACCAUUAUGGCCCAAGACACGCAUA
rnacentral:misc_RNA from 1 species